rfam:Oryza sativa Japonica Group DNA, chromosome 4, cultivar: Nipponbare, complete sequence.
UUUAAGCACAAUCAUAAGUUUCCGUGUCGAACUUUGAUCGUUUGUCUUAUUUGAAAUUUUUUUAUGGUUAAUAUUUUAUUAUUAUUAAAUGAUAAAACAUGAACAAUACUUUAUUUGUGACUUAUGUUUUUUUAUUUUUUUUCUAAAAAAAAUAAAUAAGAUAGACGAUUAAAGUUGAACACGGAAACUCAUUACUGCGCUUAAA